rnacentral:rRNA from 1 species
AGUAAUGCUUGGGAAUCUAGCUUAUGGAGGGGGAUAACUACGGGAAACUGUAGCUAAUACCGCGUAGAAUCGAGAGAUGAAAGUGUGGGACCUUCGGGCCACAUGCCAUAGGAUGAGCCCAAGUAGGAUUAGGUAGUUGGUGAGGUAAAGGCUCACCAAGCCGACGAUCUCUAGCUGGUCUGAGAGGAUGACCAGCCACACUGGGACUGAGACACGGCCCAG